CAAAAUAUGGACAAUUUUAUGUUUAGGGCGUCUUGAAAUCUUUUGACAGCUUCCGAAGUGCUAUUUUUCAACCUUUUUCACCUGGACCAAAUCACUACUUUCCUUUAAAAUUCUGGACCCAAAUUUUUUUACAGUGUAAUUUCACCCCCUACUUGCAAUUUGAGGCAUUAAACAUGGAGAAAUAAAUUUGGAAGGGUAUAAAAAUUAAUGGCAAGUAACCCACUGUCAACACUAGGGACUAUAUUUGUGAACAACGAAAAUCAAGGGACGACAAUUGUGGUCUCGGACCUAAUAGGAUAGAAAGAGUUGACAAAUCUUAAAAAAACUUGGUAUGACCAAAGCUUAAUAAAUUAUAACACUGCUUACAAAGUUUCAUGACAAUAGGAUGUAUAUUAUAGACAAUAAGUUAAGUUCUAUACUCAUCUUUGCGUGUAAAAUUUUGACGUUAAAAUUGAAAAAUUUCAACUAUCAACAUUUGGGGCUUUAAAAAUUAAAAUAUUGCAAAAAAAUACUUUUUAAAUGCCUUAAUAUAUAACUUAUCAUGUACUAAAAGCAAUAGAGUACUCAUUUGAUUUAUCAGACUUGGCAUAAUUAUUCAAAAGUCAAAUUUAUAUGAGCCUGUGCCUAAAAAUUGAGGUUUUUCAAUGAAGGGGGCCUUACAUGAAGAUGUAAUAUUUUCCAGCAAUUUUAAAUUUGUGAAGCUUUUUGGUUAUAAAUAAUCCUUACAUAUGUAUUGAAAGUACUUUAAAUGGAAAGAAAAGUUACAAAUAACAUAUCAUAUUAGUUUAAAAGGGUCUUAGGCCAAGUAAGACUGGAAAAAAUUUAGGGUCAAUUUAGGCCGUGCCACAUAUUUACAUUAAAAAAUGCAUAUUGAGGCUAUAAGAAAUAAAAAUUUUGUGUCUUUUUUAUCAUUUCUAUACUCAUGUGACAUGAUACAACAAAUCUGAGCACAAAAAGACUCUUGCAAUUAACUUUUCUUACAAACAGUAUGGUCUGAUACAUAAAGAUUUUUGCCUUUUAGGGAAAAACUUGCAUGCAAUUUAUUCUCAACAGGCUUAUAUUUAAACCACUUGCUAUCCUACAGAAGAAAAGAAAGAUAUUAUGUGAAAUGGAACAGGUACAAUAGACAUUGUAAAGUGCUUUUGAUACAAAUUUAGUGAGGUCUUUAUUAUGGACUUCAAAUUUUAUGUACCAAGCUCCCCACUUUUGACUUCAUCCAAACAGGGCGUUAGACAAGGGUCAUUUAUACAACACAUUUUGCACAUAUUGUCUGAGAUAAUCUUCUUUUCUGUAGAUUCAGAGUUCAUAAAUAAGUAAAA
rnacentral:lncRNA from 1 species